GAUGAACGCUAGCGGCAGGCUUAAUACAUGCAAGUCGAGGGGCAGCAUGAAUGUAGCAAUACAUUUGAUGGCGACCGGCAAACGGGUGCGGAACACGUACACAACCUUCCUAUAAGUGGGGAAUAGCCCAGAGAAAUUUGGAUUAAUACCCCGUAGCAUAAUGAUGUGGCAUCACAUUAUUAUUAUAGCUUCGGCGCUUAUUGAUGGGUGUGCGGCUGAUUAGAUAGUUGGCGGGGUAACGGCCCACCAAGUCUACGAUCAGUAGCUGAUGUGAGAGCAGGAUCAGCCACACGGGCACUGAGACACGGGCCCGACUCCUACGGGAGGCAGCAGUAAGGAAUAUUGGUCAAUGGACGCAAGUCUGAACCAGCCAUGCCGCGUGAAGGAUUAAGGUCCUCUGGAUUGUAAACUUCUUUUAUCUGGGACGAAAAAAGGCUAUUCUUAGCCACUUGACGGUACCAGAUGAAUAAGCACCGGCUAACUCCGUGCCAGCCGCCGCAGUAACAC
rnacentral:rRNA from 1 species